GACGAACGCUGGCGGCGUGCCUAAUACAUGCAAGUUGAGCGCUGAAGGUUGGUACUUGUACCAACUGGAUGAGCAGCGAACGGGUGAGUAACGCGUGGGGAAUCUGCCUUUGAGCGGGGGACAACAUUUGGAAACGAAUGCUAAUACCGCAUAAAAACUUUAAACACAAGUUUUAAGUUUGAAAGAUGCAAUUGCAUCACUCAAAGAUGAUCCCGCGUUGUAUUAGCUAGUAGGUGAGGUAAAGGCUCACCAAGGCGAUGAUACAUAGCCGACCUGAGAGGGUGAUCGGCCACAUUGGGACUGAGACACGGCCCAAACUCCUACGGGAGGCAGCAGUAGGGAAUCUUCGGCAAUGGACGAAAGUCUGACCGAGCAACGCCGCGUGAGUGAAGAAGGUUUUCGGAUCGUAAAACUCUGUUGGUAGAGAAGAACGUUGGUGAGAGUGGAAAGCUCAUCAAGUGACGGUAACUACCCAGAAAGGGACGGCUAACUACGU
rnacentral:rRNA from 1 species